GGUGAGCUACCCCGAGACAGCCUAUAUUAAUUUAGGGCUAACCCGUCUCUGUGGCAAAAGAGUGGGAAGAGCUCCGGGUAGAAGUGAAAGACCUACCGAACCUGGUGAUAGCUGGUUGACUGAGAAAUGGAUAGAAGUUCAGCCUCGCACACCCCAAACCAAAAAAUACUAUCACCAAGAUAUUAAGGGAAACGUACGAGAGUUAGUUAAAAGGGGUACAGCCCUUUUAACAAAGGAUACAACCUUUACAGGAGGAUAAAGAUCAUAAUGUAUAAGAUAUACUGUUCUAGUGGGCCUGAAAGCAGCCACCUAAACAGAAAGCGUUAAAGCUCGGACAGAAGGAAGUUUAUUAUACUGAUAAAAAAUCUUAUUCCCCUAGCUAUAUCAGACCAACCCAUGCCUCCAUGGAAGAGAUUAUGCUAAAAUGAGUAAUAAGAAGACCCGCUCUUCUCCCAGCACAAGUGUAAACCAGAUCGGACUGACCACUGGAACUUAACGAACCCAACCCCAGAGGGUAGUGUGAUUAACAAAAAACUCAAGAAGGCCUCACAUAACUAAUCGUUGACCCCACACUGGAGUGCUAUUUUAAGGGAAAGACUAAAAGAAGGGGAAGGAACUCGGCAAACACAAGCCUCGCCUGUUUACCAAAAACAUCGCCUCCUGCAACUAAACUGAGUAUAGGAGGUCCAGCCUGCCCAGUGACUACGGGUUCAACGGCCGCGGUAUCUUGACCGUGCAAAGGUAGCGCAAUCACUUGUCUCUUAAAUAGAGACCUGUAUGAAUGGCUAGACGAGGGCUUAACUGUCUCCCCCUUCCAGUCAGUGAAAUUGAUCUAUCCGUGCAGAAGCGGGUAUAAAUAUACAAGACGAGAAGACCCUUUGGAGCUUAAGGUACAAAAUUCAGCCACGUUAAACAACUCUAUAAGAAGCAAGAACUUAGUGAUAAUGAAAUUUUACCUUCGGUUGGGGCGACCGCGGAGGAAAAACAAGCCUCCGAGUGGACUGGGCCGAAUCCCUGAAGCCAAUAGAGACAUCUAUAAGCCGCAGAACAUCUGACCAAAAAUGAUCCGGCUAAAAGCCGAUCAACGAACCAAGUUACCCAAGGGAUAACAGCGCAAUCCCCUCCCAGAGCCCAUAUCUACGAGGGGGUUUACGACCUCGAUGUUGGAUCAGGACAUCCUAAUGGUGC
rnacentral:rRNA from 1 species